UACAGAGGGGGCAAGCGUUAUUCGGAAUUAUUGGGCGUAAAGGGCGCGUAGGCGGCUUUGCAAGUGACGGGUGAAAGCCCUCGGCUUAACCGAGGAACUGCCUGUCAGACUGUAAGGCUUGAGUCCGGGAGAGGUGAGUGGAAUUCCCAGUGUAGCGGUGAAAUGCGUAGAUAUUGGGAGGAACACCGGUGGCGAAGGCGGGUCUCUGGGCCGAUAUUGACGCUGAGGAGCGAAAGCGUGGGGAGCAAACAGG
rnacentral:rRNA from 1 species